rnacentral:lncRNA from 1 species
UGGGAUUACAGGUAUGAACCACCGUGCCAAUUCUAACUUUUGUAAUUACUAUUUUCUUGCUUUUCCUUAUAAUUUGAUCACCUAAAUGUACAUCCCUAGACACUAUCAUUCAGUCAUGUUCAUUUCCUAUAUUUGAUGUCUUUUAGGUCUCUUGUAAUCCCCAGCCUUCCACUGCCAUCCCUUGCUCUACCUGACAGUUUAUCCAUGGAAGUACCCUGGCUCUUUGACCUAAAGAGUUUCCAGGCCGGGUGCGGUGGCUCACACCUGUAAUCCCAG